rnacentral:rRNA from 1 species
GACGUGGGGCGCGAGCGUUGUCCGGAUUUAUUGGGCGUAAAGAGCUCGUAGGCGGUUCGUCGCGUCGGCUGUGAAAUCCCGAGGCUCAACCUCGGGUCUGCAGUCGAUACGGGCGGACUGGAGUACUGCAGGGGAGACUGGAAUUCCUGGUGUAGCGGUGAAAUGCGCAGAUAUCAGGAGGAACACCGGUGGCGAAGGCGGGCCUCUGGGCAGUUACUGACGCUGAGGAGCGAAAGCGUGGGGAGCGAACAGG